GCUUGCUUCAAUCCGCUCAGGCUUGCUUCAAUCUGCUAAGGCUUCAAUCCGCUCAGGCUCACUUCAAUCCACUCAGGCUUGCUUCAAUCUGCUAAGGCUUCAAUCCGCUCAGACUCACUUCAAUCUGCUCAGGCUUCACUUAUCUUCGCAGAUAAAAAAAAUACUCUUCAUUGCUUUGUGGGAAAUACUCCAAGACGUCUAGGGUAAGUUCCUGCUCUUCAUAAUUGACAUGACAGCUUCAAACUUGUGUUGCUUGGAAUAUUUGUUCUCUUCCCCUUGUGUGGCUUGUUAUGCGAGUGAUGCAAGGCCAUAUGUUUCAUUGCAAUGAGAGAAGGAGCUGAGCAGCCAUAAUCUUCUUUUGGUGAUGACCUUGAGGCGACCUGAAACGGUCUUCGAGAUUUGAACGGCAUUAGGGCCUUGCUUAGGAAGGUAGAGAUGAUUGCUGAAGCCGUGUUGUAGGAAGCUUCUCAGAGGAGUUGUUCAGUUUUUUACUUUCUAGGCUUUCGGUGGAACAAGGUUGAGACUUCCAGAUGGUACAGAAAGAUAAAGAUGCUGCAAAAGAUAAACAGAGUUAGAAUGAGAGCUCCACCUUCACUAUCUUCUUGUUGCCUCGCAGCUUCUCUUCUUCUGCUCUUCUGUUCUCUUCUCUUCCUCCUCUUGUUCUCUUCUCGUUCUUCUUUUCUGCCUCCUUUCGUUACAGAGAACUUACCUUUUUAUAGGCACAGCAGGUUAGUUUAAUGAAGAUAGCUAUCAAUUCAAAUUCAAACUGAGGUUGAUCCUUUAUCCAUUUGAAUCGGAAAGAUUAUAGCAGUAUCUCUAUCUUCUUCUUUGACCUCUGAGGCCUUUGUUAAUAUUCAAACUUAUUCUUCCACAUAUGUA